rnacentral:rRNA from 1 species
AGUGAACGCUGGCGGUAGGCCUAACACAUGCAAGUCGAACGGCAGCACAGUAAGAGCUUGCUCUUACGGGUGGCGAGUGGCGGACGGGUGAGGAAUACAUCGGAAUCUACUUUUUCGUGGGGGAUAACGUAGGGAAACUUACGCUAAUACCGCAUACGACCUACGGGUGAAAGCAGGGGAUCUUCGGACCUUGCGCGAUUGAAUGAGCCGAUGUCGGAUUAGCUAGUUGGCGGGGUAAAGGCCCACCAAGGCGACGAUCCGUAGCUGGUCUGAGAGGAUGAUCAGCCUCACUGGAACUGAGACACGGUCCAGACUCCUACGGGAGGCAGCAGUGGGGAAUAUUGGACAAUGGGCGCAAGCCUGAUCCAGCCAUACCGCGUGGGUGAAGAAGGCCUUCGGGUUGUAAAGCCCUUUUGUUGGGAAAGAAAAGCAGCAGGUUAAUACCCCGCUGUUCCGACGGUACCCAAAGAAUAAGCACCGGCUAACUUCGUG